AAGUCGUAACAAGGUUUCCGUAGGUGAACCUGCGGAAGGAUCAUUAUCGAGUUUUGAAACGGGUUGUAGCUGGUCUCAAUACGGGACAUGUGCACGCCUGACUCAUCCACUCUCAAACCCCUGUGCACUUAUUGUAGGUCGGUGGAAAGACUUGGUUUUUUUUAUUAAGUCAAGUCGGAAGCCUUCCUAUGUUUUUACUACAAACGCUUCAGUUAUAGAAUGUCAUACGCGUAUAACGCAUUUAUAUACAACUUUCAGCAACGGAUCUCUUGGCUCUC
rnacentral:misc_RNA from 1 species